CCGAAAGACGCUUUGAAGAGCAGGUGAAAAAAGCACAAGUGGGUUGUAUUGCCCCGCUCGGAUUCCAUAUGGCUCUGGCAUUGCUCUUCUUGAUGGCCAUGCUGGUUGCAGGUUCUAUGCAGGAUGCUCAACAGGGCACGCACCUUAGGCUGCGUCGUGGCUUCGGUUGCCCGUACAACGAGUUUGCGUGUGUCAGACAGUGCGUCGACGCCGGCAAGCGCCACGGCUUCUGCGGAAGGAACGGCGUCUGCCAAUGCGUCGGCUGAAAAGAGCGGAGCGCUCGCCCGCCGACGUCACCUCGCGACGUCACAAGUCUCACUCAGACGGACGACUGCACUGUUUGGCUGAAUGAAGUGUCUGCCAAUAAACUUUUCCCAAUUCAUG